UUGCCUAGCAAGCCUCCAGCUUCAAGCGAUUGACGGCGAUCUGGAUUCCGUCUGGAUUAGAGCAGUGCAGCAGGAAGAGGAUCAGGGGGUGGUGGUGGUCCAGGCCAUGGGGGCGGGGAGGUCGGACGGGGAGAGGAGAGAUAGCCCUAAGGACGAGGUCCUCGCCGGCUGAAUCGAAUCGAGAAUUCGUCAGCUCCUCCCACCCCUGCGGUCACAUCUCUCUCGGAGAUCCUCUUCAACCCGGAGUUCCUCGUGGAGGGCACCCGCUCACCCCGGCGUGUGGAGAGGAGGUAGGCCGCCCCUCCUUGCGGGCGUCGCUGGAGGAGACAGGGCGCGCGGGAACAUCGGAUGUGGAACAACUGCUGCCAUGGUCCUCAUCCGGCCUUAAUUUCAAGAUACGGUGUAGGUGUAGUGGACUAGGAUGGGAAGGGAGGAGGCCGUGGCCAAGGAGGAAGAGCAGCGGGGCGAUGGGGACCUGCAAUGUGGGAACGAAGGUGUGCACUGGUCGACACCCCAUCGUGGGGAAGACAAGAGGUGUAGGUUCCGAUCUGAUCCUGUGACUAGAAGUAGCCGGGAGCUGCAAGGGCAAGUCAAAGAUGAGUGUGGUUCGGUUCAGUUUAGGCAACAAGAGCUGCAUUGUGAUCAUGGCACGGUAACUUGUCGUCGACAUGGUUCUCAGUGAGUAAUCCAUAUGGGAGACCCCUGCCAUUGUCUUCUUUAGUGACAAGCAGUGGUUCAUCGGCACUGCAAGCACUGCGAACUCCAGCAUGAACCCAAAGACUUUAAGUUUCUUUUAAGUUCUAUUCUAAUAGUACAUGUCUAGAUUUCAUCUAUCAUGCAUGUCACCGACCACAACAUCCCAACUGAGCUCAUCGACCAGCUGCGCAACGCCGGCACUACCAAGAACAAGGAGGUGUAUGCUAAACAAUUCAUCACAUCUCCUGUUGUUGAACUGCCUAUUAUGCAAAUUAUUGGCAUGUUUUCUUGUGGGUUUGUUUUGCCUCAAUGGUACUAUUCUUCUGGAAGAUUUUGUUUCAAGUUUGCAGUUCGAUUUACAAACAUGAAGAUAUAAGGAUGGGAGAUCAACAUAUUCAUGUUUUCUCUGGUAAAUGUGAAGUUCCGGUCUAUCAAAAAAGCGGCUAAUGUCUAGCAAUCUGCAGCAAGAACUUUAUCCACUCAUCUGGUCCAACUUACACCCAUGGAAUUCCCCAUCCACAUCUCUCUGUUCGUGAAAGCAAUUGCUGGAUUUGUAUGGUAAGAGUGGUCCCGUACAUGCAUUCUAUUGGCUACUAAAUUAAUUAAUUUCCCGCGAAUUCCAAUAGAAUAUAAUUAGGAGGGCAAGUAAUUAUCGGUGAUAACUACUUAGUUUAUUUUUGUAGGCGUGAUUGUAGUCUUAGAUCUUUGUAGGAUUUUGCAAUGUGGCUCAGAUUUGUUGUCUGAACCUAGAUGUUAGCUUUGAUGUCUGAAUAUAGGUAUUUUGCAGAUCUUCUGUCCUUACUUUACUUAAAGUCUUCAGAAACAAUGAUGUUAUGUCUGAAA